rnacentral:tRNA from 1 species
GGAGAUGUAGAGUAGUGGUCUACACUUCUGAUUAUGGAUCAGGAGGUAUUGGGCUAGGUCUUGGGUUCAAUUCCCACUCCUUCCA